GGGCGGUUAGCUCAGCUGGGAGAGCGCCUGCCUUACAAGCAGGAUGUCGUCAGUUCGAUCCUGGCACUGCCCA
rfam:Spirochaetes bacterium GWB1_27_13 gwb1_scaffold_4476, whole genome shotgun sequence.